GAAUCAGCAAUAACGCAUCUUUCCGAGAAACCCAAUUUAUGUUUGGCCGCCAGAUCACCAUCCAUUUGGGUGUAUCCCAGCGGGACCGGCGUGACGCAGGACAGACGCGGAGGGAUCUUCAGGAAAGUGAAUAAUCAGGUGUAUAAAAGCGAGCGGUCAGAAGAAAGAGAGACAGAGCUGAGGAAACUAUUCUACACCCGUACAGGUGGACAGAGAUCAUAUACAGCCGACCGGACCGCUGAAAACAUCCUGACUGUGAGAUCAGCAGAAGUCAUGUGUUCACUGAGCAGCUGUCAGACGCUCCUCCUGAUGGCCGUCUGCGGGGUGUUCUGCUGCCGGACUCUCGCGCUGCCGGCCAUCUCUGCGUAUCCUGACAUCAGACCAGGCGCUCUGGAUGAAGACAGAGAGGACGACUGGACGAGAGACGCGUCGCUGCAGGACCUCGAGGCGUAUAAACUCCUGUAUGAACUCGCAAACAACAUCGAGAGACCAUCCAGACACGCUGACGGGCUGUUCACGAGCGGAUAC